CUAACUCCGUGCCAGCAGCCGCGGUAAUACGGAGGGUGCAAGCGUUAAUCGGAAUUACUGGGCGUAAAGCGUGCGCAGGCGGUCUGUUAAGCGAGAUGUGAAAGCCCCGGGGCUCAACCUGGGAACUGCAUUUCGAACUGGCAGACUAGAGUCUUGUAGAGGGGGUAGUAAUUCCAGGUGUAGCGGUGAAAUGCGUAGAGAUCUGGAGGAAUACCGGUGGCGAAGGCGGCCCCCUGGACAAAGACUGACGCUCAGGUCACGAAAGACGUGGGGUACGCAAACAGGAUUAGAUAACCUGGUAG
rnacentral:rRNA from 1 species